rnacentral:rRNA from 1 species
CCUACGGGGAGCAGCAGUGAGGAAUAUUGGUCAAUGGACGAGAGUCUGAACCAGCCAAGUAGCGUGAAGGAUGACUGCCCUAUGGGUUGUAAACUUCUUUUAUAAAGGAAUAAAACGAGGCACGUGUGCCUUUUUGCAUGUACUUUAUGAAUAAGGAUCGGCUAACUCCGUGCCAGCAGCCGCGGUAAUACGGAGGAUCCGAGCGUUAUCCGGAUUUAUUGGGUUUAAAGGGAGCGUAGAUGGGUUGUUAAGUCAGUUGUGAAAGUUUGCGGCUCAACCGUAAAAUUGCAAUUGAUACUGGCAGUCGUGAGUACAGUUGAGGUAGGCGGAAUUCGUGGUGUAGCGGUGAAAUGCUUAGAUAUCACGAAGAACCCCGAUUGCGAAGGCAGCUUACUAAACUGUGACUGACAUUGAUGCUCGAAAGUGUGGGUAUCAAACAGGAUUAGAUACCCGGGUAGUC